UACAGAGGUCCCAAGCGUUGUUCGGAUUCACUGGGCGUAAAGGGUGCGUAGGUGGUGAGGUAAGUCCGAUGUGAAAGCUCCGAGCUCAACUCGGAAAUUGCAUUAGAAACUACCUUGCUCGAGGGUUGGAGGGGGGACUGGAAUUCUCGGUGUAGCAGUGAAAUGCGUAGAUAUCGAGAGGAACACCAGUGGCGAAGGCGAGUCCCUGGACAACUCCUGACACUGAGGCACGAAAGCUAGGGGAGCAAACAGG
rnacentral:rRNA from 1 species